rnacentral:rRNA from 1 species
GAUUCAUAAUAACUUCUCGAAUCGCAUGGCCUUGUGCCGGCGAUGCAUCAUUCAAAUAUCUGCCCUAUCAACUUUCGAUGGUAGGAUAGUGGCCUACCAUGGUUUCAACGGGUAACGGGGAAUAAGGGUUCGAUUCCGGAGAGGGAGCCUGAGAAACGGCUACCACAUCCCAGGAAGGCAGCAGGCGCGCAAAUUACCCAAUCCCGACACGGGGAGGUAGUGACAAUAAAUAACAAUAUAGGGCUCUUUCUGGUCUUAUAAUUGGAAUGAGUACAAUUUAAAUCUCUUAACGAGGAAAAAUUGGAGGGCAAGUCUGGUGCCACCACCCGCGGUAAUUCCACCUCCAAUAUCGUAUAUAAAAGUUGUUGCACUUAAAAAGCUCGUAGUUGAACUUCACAUUUGGUCGGGUGGUCCCCUUACCGGCGUGUUACUGCUUGACUGGGUCUCGUCUCUUAGAGAACACUUGUGCCCUUUAUUGGUGUGCUGUGGGGAACCAAGACUUUUAC